rnacentral:rRNA from 1 species
GAUGAACGCUAGCGGCAGGCCUAACACAUGCAAGUCGAGGGGUAACUAGAGUGAUAGCAAUAUUACUUUGGCUAGACCGGCGCACGGGUGCGUAACACGUAUGCAACCUACCUUAUACUGGGGAAUAACUUCGAGAAAUCGGCGCUAAUACCCCAUAACAUUGCGAAGAGGCAUCUCUUUGCAAUUAAAGCUCCGGCGGUAUAAGAUGGGCAUGCGUCCAAUUAGCUAGUUGGUGAGGUAACGGCUCACCAAGGCUACGAUUGGUAGGGGUUCUGAGAGGAUGAUCCCCCACACUGGAACUGGGACACGGACCAGACUCCUACGGGAGGCAGCAGUGAGGAAUAUUGCGCAAUGGACGAAAGUCUGACGCAGCCAUGCCGCGUGCAGGAUGACGGCCCUGUGGGUUGUAAACUGCUUUUGUACGGGAAUAAACCCUUCUACGUGUAGGAGGCUGAAGGUACCGUAAGAAUAAGCACCGGCUAACUCCGUGCCAGCCGCCGCAGUAA